UCCUGGUUGGUUAAGUUGGCGGUGCUUUCCAAUGUAAAUGGACAGGUGCCUGGUUCGAUACCAGGACCAGAAG
rnacentral:tRNA from 1 species